rnacentral:rRNA from 2 species
UUAGUCUUGCCGGUGGAUCACUCGGCUCGUAGGUCGAUGAAGAUCGCAGCCAAAUGCGAUAGCUAGUGCGAACUGCAGAUAUUCUGAGCACUAAGGUGUCGAAUGCAAAUUGCGCCUUGGGAUUUACAUCCCUUGGCACGCCUGGUUCAGGGUCGU